GCAAGUCUGGUGCCAGCAGCCGCGGUAAUUCCAGCUCCAAUAGCGUAUAUUAAAGUUGUUGCAGUUAAAAAGCUCGUAGUCGAACCUCGGGCCCGGCGGGAUGGUCCGCCUUACGGUGUGUACUGUCUUGCUGGGUCUUACCUCUUGGUGAAGCCUUAUGCCCUUUACUGGGUGUAGGGUCGAACCAGGAAUUUUACUUUGAGAAAAUUAGAGUGUUCAAAGCAGGCCUUUGCCCGAAUACAUUAGCAUGGAAUAAUAGAAUAGGACGUGCGGUUCUAUUUUGUUGGUUUCUAGGACCGCCGUAAUGAUUAAUAGGGACGGUCGGGGGCAUUAGUAUUCCGUUGCUAGAGGUGAAAUUCUUAGAUUUACGGAAGACUAACUUCUGCGAAAGCAUUUGCCAA
rnacentral:rRNA from 1 species